GUGUCCGAAGCAGAAGUGGGCGAUGCACCGGGACGUGACCCCGGAGGAAGCGGGUUCGAGCCCCGCCGGACACCCCA
rnacentral:tRNA from 1 species